CUAAGGAGCACCGAUACCGGAUUCCCCCGUGCCUUGCUGGAUGUGAGGAUUGUUCACGGUAGGGAGAGUGCACCGGGGCCUGUAGUGGGUUUCCCGGUGGGUGCACAACAACAAACGUUGAAAAGAAUCGCCAGACACACUGUUGGGUCCUGAGACAGCAGACCCGUGGGCUUUUCCUGGCUGUGUGCCGGGGGGCCGGCCCCUCGUUGGUGGGGGGUGGGUUGUUGUCGCCUCAUCUUGGUGGUGGGGUGUGGUGUUUGAGUUGUGGAUAGUGGUUGCGAGCAUCCAAGCGAUGGCCGUGUGCUCAUCGGGGGUUUUUCUUCGGUGGGUGGUUGUUGUUUGGUUGUGCAAUUUUGUUGUUUGAACACAUUUUUGGUUUUUGUG
rnacentral:misc_RNA from 1 species